GAGUAACUUAAUUAUAAGCCUGUAAUAAAAGAUGUUCUGCCAACAUAAAUUCUGACCAUCUCAGCUAAAUAGAAAAUAUUAUACUGAAUCAUAACCAAGAUGCAGCAUUGUUAAAUUCAGCAAACAGAUAUUUUUAAGGAAUGUGGCAAUUUGGUUAGAGUCAAUAUAAUCAGUCGCAGGGCUUUCACAACUAGCUGGCAGGCAACCGCCGGCUACUUUUUCUUUUCUAUAAAAAAAUUUGUUAUCAUUUUAAUAUAUUGGAUCCCAGCCAGCUGAUUCAGACUUUUGACCACCUACUCCAAAGUCUUGCAGUCAGCAAGAUAAUAUAAUCUUUGACUGGAUGAAAAAAAACUAAAAAUUACCAACAUUUUCAAGUAUUGAAAGUGGACGUUCCCCAGCUACGACAUUGACGGGACGCAACAAAUUCAUGUGAACUCUUACAAAUCCCUGGAAAAUGGUCUCAUCUUUCUGCAUAACAAAUAGAAAAAAAUUAUUAAGAUACAAGACCUUUAUGAAAUAACUGUUAUGAAUUAAAUCUCAGAUUCAGAUUGGUCAGGAGAGUGUGCAUUAUAAGAGAAACAGCAUGCAUGUGCACUUUAUAUUUCAUCGCUUGUGUCCAAAAUGAUUACUCUCUUGCUGUGAUGUGUGAAGCUAUAAAACACUUGGGGAUUGGCACAACACUGAA